UACGUAGGGUGCAAGCGUUGUCCGGAAUUAUUGGGCGUAAAGCGCGCGCAGGUGGUUCCUUAAGUCUGAUGUGAAAGCCCACGGCUCAACCGGUGGAGGGUCAUUGGAAACUGGGGAACUUGAGUGCAGAAGGAGGAAAGUGGAAUUCCAAGUGUAGCGGUGAAAUGCGUAGAGAUUUGGAGGAACACCAAGUGGCGAAGGCGGCUCACUGGCUCGUAACUGACGCUCAGGCGCGACAGCGUGGGGAUCGAAACAGG
rnacentral:rRNA from 1 species